rnacentral:rRNA from 1 species
CCUACGGGUGGCAGCAGUAGGGAAUAUUGCUCAAUGGGGGAAACCCUGACCCAGCAACGCCGCGUGAAGGAUGAAGGUUUUCGGAUUGUAAACCUCUUUUGUUAGAGAAGAAAAUGACGGUAUCUAACGAAUAAGCACCGUCUAACUCCGUUCCAGCAGCCGCGGUAAUACGUAGGGUGCAAGCGUUACGCGGAGUCACUGGGCGUAAAGAGCGCGUAGGCGGGAUAGCAAGUCAGUGGUGAAAUCCUAUGGCUUAACCAUAGAACUGCAUUUGAAACUGUUAUUCUAGAGUAUGGGAGAGGUAGGUGGAAUUCUUGGUGUAGGGGUAAAAUGCGUAGAGAUCAAGAGGAAUACUCAUGGCGAAGGCGGCCUGCUAGACCGUAACUGACGCUGAUGCGCGAAAGCGUGGGGAGCAAACAGGAUUAGAUACCCCAGUAGUC